rnacentral:rRNA from 1 species
AACGAACGCUGGCGGCAUGCCUAACACAUGCAAGUCGAACGAGACCUUCGGGUCUAGUGGCGCACGGGUGCGUAACGCGUGGGAACCUGCCCUUAGGUUCGGAAUAACUCCCCGAAAGGGGUGCUAAUACCGGAUAAUGUCUUCGGACCAAAGAUUUAUCGCCUUUGGAUGGGCCCGGGUUGGAUUAGCUAGUUGGUAGGGUAAAAGCCUACCAAGGCGACGAUGCCUAGCUGGUUUGAGAGGAUGAUCCGCCACACUGGGGCUGCGACCCGGCCCAGACUCCUACGCGACGGAGCAGUGGGGAAUAUUGGGCAAUGGGCGAAAGCCUGAUCCAGCCAUGCCGCGUGAGUGAUGAAGGCCUUAGGGUUGUAAAGCUCUUUUACCCGGGGUGAUAAUGACGGUACCGGGAGAAUAAGCACCGGCUAACUCCGUG